UGUAUUAGUAAAAGAUUCAUUAACUUCAUGGAGUUUGAAAAUACCAAAUAUAGCAGACAUAAAAAUAACAUGAGAUUUGAAAACCCAAGUUCAAAUGCCUAUUUGUAACUUCAAGCAAAAUAUGUGCAAUAUGAAACCUGCAAGUAUUUCACUUGCAGUUAAGCAUCUAAAAAGGGUGAAUGAUUUAAAAUUGGAAGCUUAUAACAAUGUAGGAUAAUCAUUAACAUUGUAUCAAGAUAGAAAGUUCACCCAUGUUACCUGUUAACCACAUAUCAUCACGAAGGUCACAUUCACUUGAUAUAUUUGUUCUUGCUAUUCAUUUCCACGCUCUUAGUUUGUGAAUUACAUCCAACAUUAUUCUAACUUCAACAUAAUAUGUUUUGCAAAGAAUUUUACGACACCACUUUGUCUGCACUUGAGAAACCAAAAUAAGAGAUUAAGGGUAUAUAGCAAAGUAUGAUUUACCAAGAUAAUUGGGAAAACCAUAUACAAAAAUAGACUACACGAUUAAAAGAAAAAUAGAGGAUUUUGAAUAUUAACAUUCUCAAGUAUAAAUGCAACAAAAAGUGAGUUCUAGAUAUGAUUAUGAACCUCUUUAGACUAAUCAACUUUGGGUGUAACUCCAUUGUGAGAUUCUACCUGUGACAACCAAAAAGGAGAAAAUAAGCAUAAAUGAUAGAUAAUUAGAGAUUGGUUUUUGGAAUUGGACUGAAACUGAAUACAUAUUGCAAGGAAGAUUAACUUGACCUUAAACUUUCAACUANNNNNNNNNNNNNNNNNNNNNNNNNNNNNNNNNNNNNNNNNNNNNNNNNNNNNNNNAGAUGCUAUUCUCAAUCCCUUCUAUCCCUUUCUUUCUUUUAGUUGAUAAUUUGAAAUUAUAUUAAAAAGAAGUUGCUAUCAAUAUGGGUAACUUGAGAAGAAACAGGAACCGAUAUUCUCCAAUAAUUCAAACUGAUUUAAAAUUAAAUAGUCCUUGAUCCAAACUAUUCAAAAUAGCAUCUCACAAUUAAAUAAAAGUAUGCUCAUACAAACUGAUCCAACAGAUAAACAAAUAAGCAUUAAAUUUUCUAAUUUGUGAUCAAUAAAAUAUCAAAUCCUUCAGAUUUUGGAGGAUGCAGACCAUCCUCUUCACUAUUUCAUGUAUAAGUAUAACAAUAACAAUAGUUAUUGGUGGAGAAAGAUAACAUUAAAUGAAGGAAUAUUACUCCCAUAUUUGGUAACUACAAAUACCAUGAAUCAUGAAUAUAAUAAAAAAAACUACAAACAUUGCUACUUUCAAAGACAAAAUUCCAGAAAACAAAUCAUGAAAAUAAGGGAGAGAGAAUAUCUACCUCCAAUUUCAUCAAUUUAAGCUAAUACUGAUGUGAUGUCUCUACCAAAAAAAACUAAUAUUGAUGAAUGAUAUACCUUUUUCCUCAAAUUCAUGAGUAGCAGUCUCUAAUUGGACAUAAAAAAAAACUAUGUGAGAAAUGAAGAAGCAACUAAAUACUACUAAAAUCAGAUUAUAAUAUUCACAAAAACUGAAAUGAAACCUAACUCAGAAGGGAAAAAUUGAAAAUUCAAAGUUCAGAAAACUUACCCAAUCAAACCCUAAUUUGUGAACCUGAACAAACAAUAAAACAUUGCAAGAAAAAAAAAAUCAAAAUUAGAAUAUAAAAUCAAAUCAUGAAAUAAGGAAGGGAUUAAGAAGCAAGUUGAAACCUUUCCAUUUGAUGAAGCCACUGGAGGGGGAUGAAAGUGACGGCAGAGAAGGUGUUGGUGGUGGUGAAGAUAUCAGAGAGGAUGGGAGAGAGCUGAUGAGAGAAGAAUUGAAAUCUAUGAGAAAGAAAGUGAGUUAUGAUAUUGAAGAGAGGGAGAAUUUGAAAUUUGAAAUUGAUUCCAACCUAAUUGAAGUUUUUGAAUUCUAGUCUGUAAAUCUGCAAUAUUGAAAGGGACAGCUCAAGGAAGGUCUUCUUCUUGCUUCUCUGUUUUUCUUUUGAACAAAUUUGAUUUCAAAAUUGUUUGCCAAAAGGAGUAGAGAACUUCUGCAACGCGACACAAUGAAAAGGACGG
rnacentral:lncRNA from 1 species